rnacentral:rRNA from 1 species
UACGUAGGGGGCAAGCGUUGUUCGGAAUUACUGGGCGUAAAGGGCGCGUAGGCGGCUUUUCAAGUCAGGGGUGAAAUCCGGCAGCUUAACUGUCGAAGUGCCUUUGAUACUGGGAAGCUCGAGGGAGGUAGGGGUGUGUGGAACUUCCGGUGGAGCGGUGAAAUGCGUUGAUAUCGGAAGGAACGCCGGUGGCGAAAGCGACGCACUGGACCUCUUCUGACGCUGAGGCGCGAAAGCCAGGGGAGCAAACGGG